rnacentral:tRNA from 1 species
GCCUGGGUGGCUCAGUCGGUUGGGCGUCUGACUUAGAUUCAGGUCAUGAUCUCACAGGUUGUGGGUUCAAACCCCACAUUGGGUG